ensembl:lncRNA
CUCUUUAACAUGGCUGCUGGCCAUUUUAUUGUUCAGGGUGAUAUCCUCCCAGACUAUUUUACAUAUGCAAUCCACCAAUGCUGUUUACAUUUGCAUUUUCAUCUUCACAGGUGCUGUUGUCCUUAAGGCACUUUCCCCUGAGAAAAGUUGCUUGGAGUAGCUCUAAAUGCAGUUGUAUCUACUGCCAUGGCUAGGAGAAAACACUGAAAUAUAAGAGCCAAAUUCUAUCAUGAAAAGGCUGAAAUUAUAUCGCUGGAGUUCCCACAAGCAUCAUCAUGGAUUGUAGGUUUCCUGCAUCCCUGUAGCUAAUGGCUUCGUCAAUAUCAAACAAUUCCAUGCCACAUCCAAUUAAUGAUAAGAAUUGAUAAGAACUAAUGAUAAGAACUAAUUACAUGAAGCACAUUCCUGAGGAACACACAUCAGUGAGUGUUCUAUACUACAUAUUUAAUAAUCAGAUUCAAGAACUAUGAAUUUCUUUUUCAAAAAGGCAUAAACUGACUUCUAAAAAUUUUCACCUGUCCGUUCUUCCCAUCUCUAAAAUUCUAGAUCACUCACUUCAGGCUUUUGAACCCAGGACUGUUUAUUUUUACUAUGUUCUUUCCCCAUCAUUUUGCUCCUAACCCUGUUCAAAAUCAGGUGACUUGAAGACUGGAAGAUCAUUUUACAGAAGUAGCUACUAAAUGUUUUUGUGCUAGAAAUUAUUUCUGAAUAUAACAAUAAAUUGGGGGCAUGAAUUAGAACAUUAGAACAUUGGUUGCAUUGUGAAAAAAAAAAAAAAAAGUGAUCAAGACCUAUUUCAAUCCUCCUUCUUCCUUUAGGAAAGUGGGUUUUAGUGUUUAAUCCCAGAUUGUAACAGGUUGCACUGAAUGUUUAUAGCCAGCACUUUUUUCAUUUCUUGAAAGCUAUUUUUCUUUUCUAUUUUACUACUAUUAUCUGUAAUAUUUAGUUCUCCCAUGUAAUUUCAUGUCCUUAUGUACAUCCUUCCUUUAGGCACAGAACAAAAUGACUUUUAGCCAUUCCUUCUUAAUUUCUGCAGCAUGAGAAAAAUUCUCAAAUUGUGUGCAAAUGACAUAAUGGUUUCCUGGCAACAUGAACUUAAUCACAGGAGAUCCAGGAGAAGACAGAAGGCUGCAAUGAUGCUGCCAAUCUGAUCCACGUUCAUUAACACUCUAUUUUUAUAUAAUACCCCAGAGAGACAGGCUGACAAAAAUCUCUUGAAGUUCAGUAAGGAGAAGUUCAGAGUUCUGAUCCCUGGGAGGAACAAGUCCAGGCACCUGGGACCACUCAGCUGGAUAACAUCUUUGCUGAAAAAGGCCUCGGAGUCCGAUGGAUACCAAGUUGAACACGAAUCAUUAUUGUGUCCUUGCUGCAAAGAAGGCUAAUGGUAAUUUUGUUUGCAUUGGGCAAAGUAUCUCCAGCAAGUCAAGAGAAGUGAUCCUUCCCUUCUAUUCAGCACUGGUGAGGCCACACCUGUAGUACUGUGUUCAGUUCUGGUUCCCUAGUACAAGAGAGACAUGGACAUACUGAAAAGUGUCCAAGGGAGUGCCACCAUGGUGGAGCAUCUCUCCUAUGAAGAGAGGCUUAGACAGCUGUGACUGUUUGGCCUGGAGAAGAAGGGGCUCAGAGGGGAUCAAUGUCUUUAAAUACCUGAAGGGAGAGUGCAGAGGACAGAACCAUGCUACAUUCAGUGGUGCCUAGAGCCAGGACAAUGUACACAAAAGAGUCAAUGGGCACAAAACCACACAGGAGGCUCCCUGUGAACAACAGGCAGAGUUCUGCACUGUGCGGUUGAUGGAACACUGGCACAGGCUUCACAGAGGCUGUGGGGUCUCCUCCUUGGAGGUCCCUAGAAGCCAUGGGGAUGUGGGCCUUGGCACCCUGCUCUGGGUCACCCUGCUGCAGCAGGGCUGGGAAAGGGGGACCCAGGGAUUCCUUCCAACUUCAGAAAUUCUGUGAUAUUUUCAAGAAAUUGUGAAGAUUUGUGUGUUGAUUGUAUUUACAUAUAAUGUUAGUAUGCAUAACUACAUUGAACAUCUAAAUAUUUUAUUCUUCCAACAUGUUUAGAGGUCAAUAAUUUCUCUAUUUUGAAUUGAUUGUCUUUAAAUUUACAAAUCCAUUAUCUCUUAAUUUUUAUAUUAAUCACUAUAUCUCAUGCAUAUUUUGUCAAUAUUUAAACUAGAAAUGCAGGAAAACGCAAUCUAAGUAAUAAUAUUUUGUUAAAACUUGCACAUAUAUCAUGGUUUUAUGAUUUUUGGUUAUCAGUAUUCCACAUCACAACAUCAUGCAGUGUACUGGGAGUUAAAGAGCAAAUGCUUUAGUUCCGGGUACCUGUCUGGAAGAGAAGAAGAACUACGGUCCCCAAGAGCCUUUUCGAGUACUGUUAUCAUUCCUGCUCAAAGGAACAGAUAUAAGGGUGCAGGUCAUCUGACUCGGCUCUCUUCUCGUCUUGCUGUGUUCCCUGUCGGAUUGGCUUGCUACUGCUGCUCCCAACUGCACGCAAGGCUUCAGUACUAGUGUAAGCCCUUUGGCUCUUGGACAAUCUUUCUCUCAAUUAUUGUUGAUUUAUAUUGUAUUAUAGUGUGUUAUCUUACAUUCUGAUACUAUAUUUAGUAAAUUAGUUUGUUUC